GCCCCCAUCGUCUAGCCAGGCCCAGGACACAUGGUUCUCAGCCAUGAGACAGGGGUUCAAAUCCCCUUGGGGGUACCA
rnacentral:tRNA from 1 species